rnacentral:rRNA from 1 species
UCCGAUUGAUCCCGUCGGACCCCACUGCUGUCGAGGUGGGACUAAACCAUGCUAGUUGAACGACCCGGACUAUGGCGGGGAGUGGCAGACUGCUCAGUAACACGUAGCUAACCUACCCUCGGGAUGGGGAUACCCCCGGGAAACUGGGGACAAUCCCUGAUAGGCGUGGAUUCCUGGAAUGGUUCCACACCCAAAUGUUGUGCACCCAUGUCGUGCACAUACGCCCAAGGAUGGGGCUGCGGCCGAUCAGGCAGUUGGUGGGGUAACGGCCCACCAAACCUUUGACCGGUACGGGCCAUGAGAGUGGUACCCCGGAGAUGGACACUGAGACAAGGGUCCAGGCCCUACGGGGCGCAGCAGGUGCGAAACCUCCACAAUUCACGCAAGUGAGAUGGGGUUACCUCGAGUGCCGCCUGAAGAAGGCGGCUUUUCCAUUGUGUAAUAAGCCGUGGGAAUAAGGGGGGGGCAAGACUGGUGUCAGCCGCCGCGGUAACACCAGCCCCCCGAGUGGUGGGGACGUUUACUUGGCCUAAAGCGUCCGUAGCCGGCCCGGUAAAUCUUUCGUUAAAUCCAACGUCCCGAGCGUUGGGCUGCGAGAGACACUGCCGGGCUAGAGGGUGGGAAAGGUCAGCGGUAUUCCUGGGGUAGGGGCGAAAUCCAUUGAUCCCAGGAGGACCACCAGUGGCGAAGGCUGCUGACUAGAACACGCCUGACGGUGAGGGACGAAAGCUGGGGUAGCGAAUCGGAUUAGAUACCCGAGUAGUCCCAGCCGUAAACGAUGCAGGCUAGGUGUUGGACCGGCCAUGUGCCGGUUCAGUGCCACAGGGAAGCCAUUAAGCCUGCCGCCUGGGGAGUACGGCCGCAAGGCUGAAACUUAAAGGAAUUGGCGGGGGAGCACCACCAGGCGUGAAGCCUGCGGUUUAAUUGGAGUCAACGCCGGGAACCUUACCGGGAGCGACAGCAGAGUGAAGGCCAGGUUGAAGGUCUUGCCGGACGAGCUGAGAGGAGGUGCAUGGCCGUCGCCAGUUCGUGCCGUGAGGUGUCCUCUUAAGUGAGGUAACGAACGAGACCCGCGCCCCAUGUUGCCAGCAAAUCCUAAAGGGAUGUUGGGCACUCUUGGGGGACCGCAGCCGACAAGGCUGAGGAAGGUGCGGGCAACGGCAGGUCAGUAUGCCCCGAAUCUCCCGGGCCACACGCGGGCUGCAAUGGUAGUGACAGAGGGCUGCCACCCCGAGAGGGGGAGCCAAUCCCUAAACUCUACCUCAGUUGGGAUCGAGGGCUGCAACCCGCCCUCGUGAACAUGGAAUGCCUAGUAACCGCCGGUCAUCAUCCGGCGGUGAAUACGUCCCUGCUCCUUGCACACACUGCCCGUCGAACCACCCGAAUGUAUUUUGGGUGAGGCAUGGUCGAAAGUUGGCCGUGUCGAACCUGAGGUACGUAAGGAGGGUUAAGUCGUAACAAGGUG